GAUUAAUCAGCCGAGCGGUCUAAGGCGUUGCACUCAAGCGGUUAGCUUUCCAAGUUGCUUUGAAUCUUGCAAUGGGAUUUAUCCCGCCUGGGUUCGAAUCCCAGUUUGCGCA